AGUGGGAUAGCCAGGUCAAAUGGUGGUACCAUUUCAAGUUUUCUAAGGAAUCUCCAUAGUGCUUUCCAGAGUGGUUGCACCAAUUUGCAGUCCCACCAGCAAU
rnacentral:pre_miRNA from 1 species